rnacentral:rRNA from 1 species
AUGGAACAACUGACCAGUGACGACUGUCAGCAGGAGGAUGAGCUCAACCUUGAGCUCACCCUCCGUACCACGGCCGCGGCGGAGCCCGACGUCGGCUACUUCCUCUGCGUCUACUGCGAACGUAAGUUCCGCAGCUCUCAGGCCCUCGGCGGCCACCAGAACGCGCAUAAGCACGAACGUAGCGUCGCCGAGCGUCAGCGGCUGAUCCCUGCCACAACGCGCGCGCACGCCGUGCUCGUGGGCGCGCCUGCUGCGGCGCAGGACGAGAGGCAGCCCGGGUACCACCGUGGGGGCGGCGGCGACUUCAUGUCUGCGGCUGGGAAAGCGAGGAAGACUGCUGCUGGAAAGACGCACACGCACGGCAGGAGCUCGUCGGAGUACGGCUACGGCGCCGACGAUGUGGACUUGUCUCUCAGGCUAUGA